rnacentral:rRNA from 1 species
CCUACGGGAGGCAGCAGUGAGGAAUAUUGGUCAAUGGGCGCAAGCCUGAACCAGCCAAGUCGCGUGAGGGAUGACGGUCCUAUGGAUUGUAAACCUCUUUUGUCGGGGAGCAAGGCCCGCCACGUGUGGCGGGAAGGAGAGUACCCGAAGAAAAAGCAUCGGCUAACUCCGUGCCAGCAGCCGCGGUAAUACGGAGGAUGCGAGCGUUAUCCGGAUUUAUUGGGUUUAAAGGGUGCGCAGGCGGUCUGUUAAGUCAGCGGUCAAAGCCCGGGGCUCAACCCCGGCCCGCCGUUGAAACUGGCAGUCUCGAGUUGGAGAGAAGUAUGCGGAAUGCGCGGUGUAGCGGUGAAAUGCAUAGAUAUCGCGCAGAACUCCGAUUGCGAAGGCAGCAUGCCGGCUCCACACUGACGCUGAGGCACGAAAGCGUGGGUAUCGAACAGGAUUAGAUACCCGAGUAGUC